AGAGUUUGAUCCUGGCUCAGGAUGAACGCUAGCGGCAGGCUUAACACAUGCAAGUCGAGGGGCAGCAUAAUGGAUAGCAAUAUCUAUGGUGGCGACCGGCGCACGGGUGCGUAACGCGUAUGCAACCUACCUUUAACAGGGGGAUAACACUGAGAAAUUGGUACUAAUACCCCAUAAUAUCAUAGAAGGCAUCUUUUAUGGUUGAAAAUUCCGAUGGUUAGAGAUGGGCAUGCGUUGUAUUAGCUAGUUGGUGGGGUAACGGCUCACCAAGGCGACGAUACAUAGGGGGACUGAGAGGUUAACCCCCCACACUGGUACUGAGACACGGACCAGACUCCUACGGGAGGCAGCAGUGAGGAAUAUUGGUCAAUGGACGCAAGUCUGAACCAGCCAUGCCGCGUGCAGGAAGACGGCUCUAUGAGUUGUAAACUGCUUUUGUACGAGGGUAAACGCUCUUACGUGUAAGAGCCUGAAAGUAUCGUACGAAUAAGGAUCGGCUAACUCCGUGCCAGCAGCCGCGGUAAUACGGAGGAUUCAAGCGUUAUCCGGAUUUAUUGGGUUUAAAGGGUGCGUAGGCGGUUUGAUAAGUUAGAGGUGAAAUUUCGGGGCUCAACCCUGAACGUGCCUCUAAUACUGUUGAGCUAGAGAGUAGUUGCGGUAGGCGGAAUGUAUGGUGUAGCGGUGAAAUGCUUAGAGAUCAUACAGAACACCGAUUGCGAAGGCAGCUUACCAAACUAUAUCUGACGUUGAGGCACGAAAGCGUGGGGAGCAAACAGGAUUAGAUACCCUGGUAGUCCACGCAGUAAACGAUGAUAACUCGUUGUCGGCGAUACACAGUCGGUGACUAAGCGAAAGCGAUAAGUUAUCCACCUGGGGAGUACGUUCGCAAGAAUGAAACUCAAAGGAAUUGACGGGGGCCCGCACAAGCGGAGGAACAUGUGGUUUAAUUCGAUGAUACGCGAGGA
rnacentral:rRNA from 1 species